CUCGCGAGGACAUGCUUCCUUAUAUCCCCAUAUCAAUACACCACUUAUGGAAUGUAAGGAAGUGUGUGGUCUCAAG
rnacentral:pre_miRNA from 1 species